rnacentral:rRNA from 1 species
GGGGGGAGCAAGCGUUGUUCGGAUUUACUGGGCGUAAAGGGCGCGUAGGCGGUCAGUGCAAGUCAGUUGUGAAAUCUCCGAGCUUAACUCGGAAAGGUCAACUGAUACUGCUCGACUAGAGUGCGGAAGGGGCAACUGGAAUUCUUGGUGUAGCGGUGAAAUGCGUAGAUAUCAAGAGGAACACCUGCGGCGAAGGCGGGUUGCUGGGCCGACACUGACGCUGAGGCGCGAAAGCUAGGGGAGCGAACGGGAUUAGAUACCCCGGUAGUCCUAGCCUUAAACGAUGAAUGCUUGGUGUCUGGGGUUAUAAAGUCCCCGGGUGCCGUCGCUAACGCUUUAAGCAUUCCGCCUGGGGAGUACGGUCGCAAGACUG